AUUCUUAAAGAAGGCAAUGCAUUUUGGUUUGGCUGUGGCACCAUGGAAUACCAUUACAAAGCAAGUGAAAAAGGAGGGUCAUAUCAUUUCUACUGGUAAGGUAUUCACAAGUGAUAAGGAUGUGUAAUGAUAUUUAUGGUACUACUCAAUCUUUUUUUUUUGUGACUGCAAGAUCUCUUCCAUGCAACUUGGCUCUCCUCCAUUUUCUCCUUCUUUUUGUCAACACCACAUUCAUGACCUUAGAGAUUUGAUAUAAUUCAUGGCACUAGCCAUUCUAGCCUUGGCCAUU
rnacentral:lncRNA from 1 species